rnacentral:rRNA from 1 species
GCGAGUGAACGGGAAGAGCUCAAAUUUGAAAUCUUGGCGUCCUCAGGGCGUCCGAGUUGUAAUCUAUAGAAGCGUUUUCCGCGCCGGACCGUGUAUAAGUCUCCUGGAACGGAGUAUCAAAGAGGGUGACAAUCCCGUGCUUUACACGACGACCGGUGCUAUGUGAUACGUUCUCUACGAGUCGAGUUGUUUGGGAAUGCAGCUCAAAACGGGUGGUAAACUCCAUCUAAAGCUAAAUAUUGGUGGGAGACCGAUAGCGAACAAGUACCGUGAGGGAAAGAUGAAAAGCACUUUGGAAAGAGAGUUAAACAGUAUGUGAAAUUGUUGAAAGGGAAACGAUUGAAGUCAGUCGUGUCCAUUGGGUUCAGCCGGUCCUGCCGGUCUACUCCCUUUGGACGGGUCAACAUCAGUUCUGACCGGCGGAUAAAUGGCACGAGGAACGUGGCACCCUCCGGGGUGUGUUAUAGCCUCGCGUCGCAUACGCUGGUCGGGACUGAGGAACGCAGCUCGCCUUCAUGGCCGGGGUACGCCCACGUACGAGCUUAGGAUGUUGACAUAAUGGCUUUAAACGACCCGU